rnacentral:rRNA from 1 species
CAGCAGCCGCGGUAAUACGUAGGUGGCAAGCGUUGUCCGGAAUUAUUGGGCGUAAAGCGCGCGCAGGUGGUUUAAUAAGUCUGAUGUGAAAGCCCACGGCUCAACCGUGGAGGGUCAUUGGAAACUGUUAAACUUGAGUGCAGGAGAGAAAAGUGGAAUUCCUAGUGUAGCGGUGAAAUGCGUAGAGAUUAGGAGGAACACCAGUGGCGAAGGCGGCUUUUUGGCCUGUAACUGACACUGAGGCGCGAAAGCGUGGGGAGCAAACAGGAUUAGAUACCCGUGUAGUCCCUGUCUCUUAUAC